ensembl:lncRNA
CCCCUAUUUACUGUAAGUUAGUCCAUGAUCGAUCUGUUCCUAUACUUUUGGUCUUGCCGCUCCAGUAGUUUCAGAGGGGACUGUAGCUAGGUCCAAAGUAUUUUAAAUGUCUCUACAUUUCUGUCACACUAAAACAAACACGGCACAAAUGAACACACAUCGCUACGGGACACUCCUCGAGUUUUCGCUCAUUUGCUCGCGUGCAUUUCGAGCUCCGCCUUCUCCCACACGUCUUUUUUUUUUCGCUCCGUUCUGAUCCGUUUUCGUACCAAACAGGAACCGAAUCGAGACGGUCAUCUCGGAUAUGGACUAACAGUUGAGAAAUUGGUGUGUAAUGAUGUCAUUAAGUCAUCAUCGGGAAGAAGAACGGGGCAGUAGGCUGUUUUGCACGCCAUGACGCAUCUGAAUUAAUGAUAGUCAUUUCUAACACUUCUUUGGAGGAGUAAUUAUAGAGCUUUGUAAACAACUUAGGAAGCAUUAUAAUCAAAGUCAUGAGGAUUUAAGAUCACAGGUUUCACAGACUGCACAAAUAACACUAACCUUACACCUCUAAUGCUGCAUUACACACACACACACACACACACACACACACACACACACACACACACACACACACACACACACAGCCUUAUAUUUGUUAACAUGAAAAAUACAUCAGACUGCAAUGCAUUGUGGGGAAAUUCUGCCCCUGAAAGCCUACAUUCAUAUACAUACACAUACAUCUCCAGUCCUGUUUAUUCAUGUUUACUCCUACAUUCAUGUUUAUUCAUGUUUACAUCUCCAUUCCUGUUUAUUCAUGUUUACUUCUACAUUCCUAUUUAUUCAUGUUUACUUCUACAUUCAUAUUUAUUCAUGUUUACUCCUACAUUCAUGUUUAUUCAUGUUUACUUCUACAUUCCUGUUUAUUCAUGUUUAUUUCUACAUUCAUGUUUAUUCAUGUUUACUCCUACAUUCAUGUUUAUUCAUGUUUACUCCUACAUUCAUGUUUAUUCAUGUUUACUCCUACAUUCAUGUUUAUUCAUGUUUACUCCUACAUUCAUGUUUAUUCAUGUUUACUCCUACAUUCAUGUUUAUUCAUGUUUACUCCUACAUUCAUGUUUACUUCUACAUUCCUGUUUAUUCAUGUUUACUCCUGCAUUCAUGUUUAUUCAUGUUUACUCCUACAUUCAUGUUUAUUCAUAUUUACUCCUACAUUCAUGUUUAUUCAUAUUUAUUUCUACAUUCAUGUUUAUUUCAUGUUUACUUCUACAUUCAUGUUUAUUCAUGUUUACUCCUACAUUCAUGUUUAUUCAUGUUUACUCCUACAUUCAUGUUUAUUCAUGUUUACUCCUACAUUCAUGUUUACUUCUACAUUCCUAUUUAUUCAUGUUUACUUCUACAUUCAUGUUUAUUCAUGUUUACUUCUACAUUCCUAUUUAUUCAUGUUUACUCCUACAUUCAUGUUUAUUCAUGUUUACUCCUACAUUCAUGUUUAUUCAUGUUACUCCUACAUUCAUGUUUAUUCAUGUUUACUUCUACAUUCCUAUUUAUUCAUGUUUACUCCUACAUUCAUGUUUAUUCAUGUUUACUUCUACAUUCCUAUUUAUUCAUGUUUACUCCUACAUUCCUAUUUAUUCAUGUUUACUCCUACAUUCAUGUUUACUUCUACAUUCCUAUUUAUUCAUGUUUACUCCUACAUUCAUGUUUAUUCAUGUUUACUUCUACAUUCAUAUUUAUUCUGUUUACUCCUACAUUCAUAUUUAUUCAUGUUUACUCCUACAUUCAUGUUUAUUCAUGUUUAUCCUACAUUCAUGUUUAUUCAUGUUUACUUCUACAUU